UGAGGAAUAUUGGUCAAUGGGCGGGAGCCUGAACCAGCCAAGUCGCGUGAGGGAAGACGGUCCUAUGGAUUGUAAACCUCUUUUUGUCGGGGAGCAAGAAAGGGUAUGCAUACCCUACUGAGAGUACCCGAAGAAAAGCAUCGGCUAACUCCGUGCC
rnacentral:rRNA from 1 species